rnacentral:rRNA from 1 species
UGAGGAACAUGACCUUCGGCGGGGGAUAGCCGGCCCAACGGCCGGGUAAUACCGCGUACGACCACUUUGGGACAUCCCUAGGUGGUGAAAGCAGCAAUGCGCCGAUGGAGUGCCUCGCGGCCUAUCAGCUAGUUGGUGAGGUAACGGCUCACCAAGGCAACGGACGGGUAGCUGGUCUGAGAGGAUGGCCAGCCACAGUUGGGACUGAGACACGGCCCAGACCUCCGUACGGGGAGCA